UGGAGUCCGAUUUAGCCAUGCUAGUCGCACGAGUUCAGACUCGUGGCAGAUAGCUCAGUAACACGUGGCCAAACUACCCUAUAGAUCCGGCCAACCUCGGGAAACUGAGGCUAAUCCGGAAUAUCGCUUUCAGCCUGGAGUGGCGAGAGCGUGAAACGCUCCGGCGCUAUAGGAUGUGGCUGCGGCCGAUUAGGUAGACGGUGGGGUAACGGCCCACCGUGCCAGUAAUCGGUACGGGUUGUGAGAGCAAGAGCCCGGAGACGGUAUCUGAGACAAGAUACCGGGCCCUACGGGGCGCAGCAGGCGCGAAACCUUUACACUGCACGCGAGUGCGAUAAGGGGACUCCAGGUGCGAGGGCAUAUAGUCCUCGCUUUUCUCGACCGUAGGGAGGUCGAGGAACAAGUGCUGGGCAAGACCGGUGCCAGCCGCCGCGGUAAUACCGGCAGCACAAGUGAUGACCGCUGUUAUUGGGCCUAAAGCGUCCGUAGCUGGCCAGACAAGUUCAUCGGGAAAUCUGUGCGCCUAACGCACAGGCGUCCGGUGGAAACUGCCUGGCUUGGGACCGGAAGACCAGAGGGGUACGUCUGGGGUAGGAGUGAAAUCCCGUAAUCCUGGACGGACCACCGGUGGCGAAAGCGCCUCUGGAAGACGGAUCCGACGGUGAGGGACGAAAGCUCGGGUCACGAACCGGAUUAGAUACCCGGGUAGUCCGAGCUGUAAACGAUGUCUGCUAGGUGUGACACAGGCUACGAGCCUGUGUUGUGCCGUAGGGAAGCCGUGAAGCAGACCGCCUGGGAAGUACGUCCGCAAGGAUGAAACUUAAAGGAAUUGGCGGGGGAGCACUACAACCGGAGGAGCCUGCGGUUUAAUUGGACUCAACGCCGGACAUCUCACCAGCAUCGACAGUGUGCAGUGACAGUCAGUGUGAUGAGCUUACUUGAGCCACUGAGAGGAGGUGCAUGGCCGCCGUCAGCUCGUACCGUGAGGCGUCCUGUUAAGUCAGGCAACGAGCGAGACCCGCACCCUUAAUUGCCAGCAACACCCUUGUGGUGGUUGGGUACAUUAAGAGGACUGCCAGUGCCAAACUGGAGGAAGGAACGGGCAACGGUAGGUCAGUAUGCCCCGAAUGUGCUGGGCGACACGCGGGCUACAAUGGUCGAGACAGUGGGAUGCAACGCCGAAAGGCGACGCUAAUCUCCGAAACUCGAUCGUAGUUCGGAUUGAGGGCUGAAACUCGCCCUCAUGAAGCUGGAUUCGGUAGUAAUCGCGCCUCAGAAGGGCG
rnacentral:rRNA from 1 species